rnacentral:lncRNA from 1 species
UCUUUUAGGGCCAUAAGCAGUUUGAGUCAGUUCUCAUACAUCAAGUCCAAGUUCAGCAAUCAACAGUCCAAUGACAAAUGUGUCACAGGUAAUUCAAGACUGAGGCAGGGCUGAUCAGUGCCCUGCAGAGUGAAAACCCUCAUCAGAGGCCAGCCCCUUCGGGACACCUGAUUCAGGCAAUUUUCAUGUUAACUCAACAGCUAUAAUUUGGGGAACUCAAAGUCAAUCAAGAAGGGUCCAAGGUGGAUACUGCCCCGGAGCUCUGCAUGUGUAACCAGAGUAAGCCAGAAAGGACGGUCCUUCUAACAUGGUGUUCUCCAGCCAAACGUGAAAGAGAGUAGGCAGAGAUCACUAAGCAAGGGAACGUCAAGGGAGGCCAGGAACCUCUUUGCCUGCUUGGGUAUCACCUGUACCCCAUCUCCCCCUGCUCAGGGAGCAUCAAGGAGCAAGAAAUUACCAGAAGUUUUCAAGCAGAAGCUCAAAGUCGUCUUCCCACCUCUUCCCAAUUGUCCUGGAAUGAAUGACACUCCUGUUGUCCUGGGGAUUCCUGUGGCAUUUUCUCGGACCCUGACCCUUACUGUCCAUUCUGCCUGGCCAGCUCUGGCUCAGCUCAGCAAAGCUCCUACCUUUGCUGCUCAGGACACUGUGGAAUGAGCAUAAAGUACCAUUUCUAUCACUGUCACCUUCCUGCUGGAGAAAUUGACUGUGGCUGCUUUAAAGUGUCACUGUGAGCGUUCCCUUUGUGACCCCUGGACCACCCCAAAGGUGGAGCUCCUCUUCUGUUCCUGAGCUAAUCCAUGGGCUGCUCAUUCCUCAGGACCAAGCCCUCCCCCUUGCUGCUGUCCCCAAGGUAGGCACUUCCUCUACUGCAUGUCCCCAAACCACUGCUCCUUCUGUAUUUGAGGACACAUGGCUCUGUGCACUUCUCCUCUUUGGGGCUUGUGUUUGGGACCUAGGAUGGUGUGUGGCCCCUGCCCCCUGCAUGCCAAUCAGGGGCUGCCCAGGGAGUGCCCAGCCUAUGGGGAAGGUGUCCAUGAAGGGGUGACCAGAGGGACAGUGGAGUCUGCUCUACUGGAAAGGUGGCCUUUGUUUUUCCAUACAGAGAGCUUUCAUUGUAUUCUUCCAGCCUGCAAUUUUUUAAAUGCC